rnacentral:rRNA from 1 species
UGAAACUCAAAGGAAGUGACGGGGGCCCGCACAAGCGGUGGAGCAUGUGGUUCAAUUCGACGCAACGCGAAGAACCUUACCCAGGCUUGAACAGCGGGUGACCAUCGACGAAAGUCGACUUCCGCAAGGACACUCGUAGAGGUGCUGCAUGGCUGUCGUCAGCUCGUGUCGUGAGAUGUUGGGUUAAGUCCCGCAACGAGCGCAACCCUUGUUUGCUGUUGCCAUCAGGUAAUGCUGGGCACUCUGCAAAGACUGCCGGUGAUAAACCGGAGGAAGGUGGGGAUGACGUCAAGUCAGCAUGGCCUUUAUGUCUGGGGCUACACACGUGCUACAAUGGCCGGUACAAACCGUCGCAAAACCGCAAGGUGGAGCUAAUCGGAGAAAGCCGGUCUCAGUUCGGAUAGCAGGCUGCAACUCGCCUGCUUGAAGUUGGAAUCGCUAGUAAUCGCGGAUCAGCACGCCGCGGUGAAUACGUUCCCGGGCCUUGUACACACCGCCCGUCACAUCACGAAAGCCGGUUGUACUAGAAGUCGCCAUACCAACCCGCAAGGGAGAGAGGCGCCUAAGGUAUGGUCGGUGAUUGGGGUG